rnacentral:lncRNA from 1 species
AAGAUUAUUCAAGAGAGUGGUGUUUAUGUACUUCACACUCCCCUAUGUGUAGUUACUGUAUUUCAUUAAUUCUGAGUUAAGCUCUUCACUAUAAAACUUUAAAUGCUCUUAAAUUCUAUGAUGUUUUCUACCUAAGGACUUUAAAAAUGUUUUGCCAUUACAAAAUCUAGUAGUAAGCUCAACCUCUGAAUACAUUAUACAUUUUAUAUCCAGAAAUGAAGCUCCAGCAUAAAUUAGACUAUUUACUCAUAUUUAUGUUUUAAUGUCUAAUAUUCUGUUGCAAGGCAUAAAUCUGAAGAUUGACCAUCUCCCCAGAGUCUUCUCUGCUCUGUUUAUGUGAUGUAACCUACACUGCUGUUUUCCAGCUUUUAUCUUUCUGCCUUGUGUUCUUGAACAUUUUCCUAAGUGUUACUAAUUUGUAACACUUCUGUCCGUUACUAAUUUGGUUAGUUAUCUGCUUUGUUUUAAUCCAUCCACUUAGCAUUAUCCUGCCUGUUAUUAGUUUUAUUUUUGUGUAUUUGUUAUUAAUGUUAUUUCAGUUUGCUUAGAAGAGGGAGGGGACCAGUGAUCACAGCUAGAUUCAUGGUUUGGACAUUAUUUAUGUGCAGACUGUUAGGCCAGACCAGUGCUUCCGAUGAUCUCCAAGUACAUUGGAAAACAAACAUUUGUAUAAACUCAACUCUCCCAAUUCUUUGCCCCUAUGCUGAGAACCUGCAGACUUCUGUAGCUUUAUUUAUUUAUUAUUUAUUUAUUUAUAAGAAAUAAGGAAACCUGCUAAUGAGGUAGCUCAGUGGAUAAAGGCACCUAAUACUGAGCCUGACCACUUGAGUUUGAUGCCAAGGAUCCACUUACUAGAAAGAGAGAGCCAAUUCCCACAAGUGGUCUUCUGACCUUCAUCUGUGCUCCGAUGGUAUGGAUGUGCAUACACACAAAAUAAAUAAACAUAAUUUUAAUAAUAAAAGAAAUAAGGAAAUAAUAAUUUAAGAAAUCCAGUUGUAGGUCAGCUAAUUUUGCAUAUUAUAAUUAAUUUUUGCUUCAAUUCCUACAAGUAAAUUAUCACUAAUUUUCUAAUUGAAGAUAUUUAAGACUUAAAAGAUUGAUGAUUUGCAUAAGGUUGUAGUUUGAGGGAGUUAAAUAUAAAUUUGUGGUUUUGUUGUAUAAUACAUUAUUAUAUGUGCUGACCAAUGAAGAUGCUGGAACCUUGCAACAUUGUGCUUUUGACAUUCAUUAAAUCAGCCAGGAAAGAGAAAGAAACACACUUGAUCUGGGUGAUGUGGUUCAGCAGUUGGCAGUGUUAAUGCUUGUCAUUCUCAGUCCCCAAUGUUUUUAUUUGAAUAAUUAAACUAUGUAGUCUCAGGUGAUCUUUUCUGUUCUCUGUGUUUUCUAGUGAUACUGAGGACGGUAUAACAUGGUGUACUAGGUCUGUUGAGACCUAGUAAUUGAACUUAGUGGCUAUAUGACCUUGAGUCAAAUGAUGGUUAGUUAUCUAAUCUGUAAAAGUGGGACUGGUAUCCAACUAAAGAGGAAAUGCCUACUAAAAUACAUAUAUAAUGAUCUCAGGUGAAGUCUGGUGACAUUUUAUAUAUCUGUUAUUAUGGAUUAUGGUCCAUAUAUAACGAAGAAAUUGCUAAGUUUUGGAUCUUUGUAGAAUUUUAUAAGUUGUGUUAGUUG